GCGAAGCCGGGAAGAGCCUCAAAUUUAUAAAUUCUGGCACCUUCGGGUGUCCGAGUUGGUAAUCUCUAGAAAAUGUUUUCCGCGUUGGACCCGCCACACAAGUCUGUUGGAAUACAGCGGCAUAGUGGUGAGACCCCCGUAUAUGGUGCGGACGCCCAGCGCUUUGUGAUACAUUUUCGAAGACUCGAGUUGUUUGGGAAUGCAGCUCAAAUUGGGUGGUAAAUUCCAUCUAAAGCUAAAUAUUGGCGAGAGACCGAUAGCGAACAAGUACCGUGAGGGAAAGAUGAAAAGCACUUUGGAAAGAGAGUUAACAGUACGUGAAAUUGUUGGAAGGGAAACGCUUGAAGUCAGACUUGCUUGCCGAGCAAUCGGUUUGCAGGCCAGCAUCAGUUUUCCGGGAUGGAUAAUGGUAGAGAGAAGGUAGCAGUUUCGGCUGUGUUAUAGCUCUCUGCUGGAUACAUCUUGGGGGACUGAGGAACGCAGUGUGCCUUUUGGCGGGGGUUUCGACCUCUUCACACUGAGGAUGC
rnacentral:rRNA from 1 species